rnacentral:tRNA from 1 species
GGCUCCGUAGUUCAAUUGGAUAGAAUAGCAGAUUCCGGUUCUGUCGGUUGGGGGUUCGAGUCCCUCCGGAGUCACCA